rnacentral:rRNA from 1 species
AGAGUUUGAUCCUGGCUCAGAACGAACGCUGGCGGCAGGCCUAACACAUGCAAGUCGAGCGCCCCCGCAAGGGGGAGCGGCGGGCGGGUGAGUAACGCGUGGGAAUUUUCCUCAAGGUACGGAACAACUCAGGGAAACUUGGGCUAAUACCGUAUGAUGUCUAGCGACCAAAGAUUUAUCGCCUUGGGAUAAGCCCGCGUCAGAUUAGGUAGUUGGUGGGGUAACGGCCUACCAAGCCUGCGAUCUGUAGCUGGUCUGAGAGGACGAUCAGCCACACUGGGACUGAGACACGGCCCAGACUCCUACGGGAGGCAGCAGUGGGGAAUCUUGCGCAAUGGGCGAAAGCCUGACGCAGCCAUGCCGCGUGAAUGAUGAAGGUCUUAGGAUUGUAAAGUUCUUUCGCUCGUGACGAUGAUGACGGUAACGAGAGAAGAGCC